GCCUAAUGUAUGACCUUUCCCAGAGAACAUUCCACAUGUACUUUGAAGAAUGUGUAUUCUGCUCCUGGGCGAACUCAUCUGUGUGUGUCUGAUUCUCCAAGCUUCCACUGGAGCAACACCAUCUCCUGUCUUGGCACCUCAUGAGUCGAAUGCUGCUUCCAGAGAGGAUCUGGUUGGUAGACCGUGACCUUGAUUCCUGCCCCUGAGCCUCACUUUUUUCUCAUCAGCCACCACCUUUUUGGCACUAGGACAGUGCUUUUUAUAAUGCACUCAUCAGUGGAUGCUGAAAUCACAACCUGGUCAUUUGGAUAUUGAACUAAUGCUUUAUGCUGCGGAGUCCCUGCAGCUCACCAACCCGUGCUGGAACUCACCAGAGCUCAGAGAGAAGAUCUCACUCUCUUGCCCAGG